CAUGGCUCUUCUCUGAACCCUCUCAAAUCUUUCAAUAUCCUUCUUGAAUUGUGGACACCAAAAUUGGACACGGGAUUCCAGCAGCAAUUAAACCACUGAUU